CCUGGGCUCAGACAGUAAAGCAUCCGCCUGCAACGUGGAAGACCUGGGUUCAAUCCCUGGGUCAGGA
rnacentral:tRNA from 1 species